rnacentral:rRNA from 1 species
UGCAAGUCGAACGAGCUCCAUCCAGUGGCAACACUGGGUGAAGAGCUAGUGGCGAACGGGUGCGUAACACGUGAGGAACCUGCCCCGGACUCUGGAAUAACAGUGGGAAACCACUGCUAAUACCAGAUGUCUCCACCAUCUCGCAUGGGAAGGUGAAGAAAGAUUUAUCGGUUCGGGAGGGUCUCGCGGCCUAUCAGCUUGUUGGCGGGGUAACGGCCCACCAAGGCGUCGACGGGUAGCUGGUCUGAGAGGAUGAUCAGCCACACUGGGACUGAGACACGGCCCAGACUCCUACGGGAGGCAGCAGUGGGGAAUCUUGCGCAAUGGGCGAAAGCCUGACGCAGCAACGCCGCGUGGGGGAUGAAGGCCCUCGGGUUGUAAACCCCUUUCAGCAGGAACGAAAAUGACGGUACCUGCAGAAGAAGGCCCGGCCAACUACGUGCCAGCAGCCGCGGUAACACGUAGGGGCCAAGCGUUGUCCGGAUUUAUUGGGCGUAAAGAGCUCGUAGGCGGUUCAGUUAGUCGGGUGUGAAAACUCUGGGCUCAACUCAGAGACGCCACCCGAUACUGCUGUGACUUGAGUCCGGUAGGGGAGCAGGGAAUUCCAGGUGUAGCGGUGAAAUGCGCAGAUAUCUGGAGGAACACCGGUGGCGAAGGCGCUGCUCUGGGCCGGUACUGACGCUGAGGAGCGAAAGCGUGGGUAGCAAACAGGAUUAGAUACCCUGGUAG